GAGGCGGGCUCGGGGCAUGACAUAUUUACUUUGUUUAUUUGUUUUAGAAAUAAAUUUAUUUAGAAAUGUGAAUCAACUAGGAUUCGAACUUGGGACAUCGAGUACCACACCAAGCUCUUCGUCAUUUGCGCCAGGGACAGUUGGUUAUUAUGUGGAUUUUUAGUGUUGGUGAGUGUUGAUUUAUGGUUGGUCUUAUGAUUUUGUAGUAAAAUUAUUUUCUAUUUCUCGUGGUAGCGUUUUCGAAAAGAAUAUAUGGGGUGUUUGGUCUAACUUCUAAGAAGUAAUUUUGAGCCUAAAAUUACUUUUAAGCUCAGUAGAGCAUUUGGGAAUGAUAGGUGGCAAAUUAGAUUUUACUUUUCAGAAUUAGAAAACUGAUUUUGAAAGGUCCAAAAUCAGAAGCAGAAAAAAGCCGCUUCUCCAAAACUGAUUCUGAUUUUGGACUCAAAUUUUAAAUUUUUAUUUUUCUUUUAGAUUCAAAGUAUAAAUUUAACAUUAAAUUUAAAUUUUAAAAUUU
rnacentral:lncRNA from 1 species